GGGGAAACUUAAGACAAAUAUUUGCUGUGGGAAUGCUAUAUUCUUGGUAUAUCUCGUAUCUGCUUGAAUUUGACUCGUAUAUUCUUUCUACGAUACAGGCAACAGAAGAGAGAUACAAUAACAAAGGAGCAUAUGUUUUAUUGAACCCCCCGAACUUCGAUAGCCCCGAAUUCCAUAGUUUUGAAGCAAUUACUCCAAGACCCAAGGUGAAUCCAUACUAUGACUUUGAGGAUGUGAUUGAUUCCGAUGAAGACUUGGACUUGGCGUCAAUGGUACCCAUUUGUAAUGUCCCUGAUCUAUAUGCUUUUCACAAUCAUUAUUUUGAGAGUUGUACAUGGUAUUAAUGGAUUUUCAUUAAUAUAUGGUGUUGUUUAAUAAGAUGACGAUGAUUUGGUAUCAAGAAGCAUGUUAUUUUCAUCAUUUUGAAGCUGUUUGUAUUGCUAUAGGUUUUAAAAGAAACCUAACUUUAUGUGACUUGUUCUUUCUGAAAUUAUAGUGCUGAAAUAUGAUUAUUUU